UCCACCACUUUCCUUUCUUACCUCUCAACCCUUCCCCCUGUGGUUGCCCUUCGCUUGCCCCUGGAUGGAUCCAGUUUGCACACAGUGGUGGCUGCUGUGGGGCCACCGCUAAACAGAACAGCUCAGACUGCAACAGGAAAGCACUGAAUCGAAAGCAAAGGGGAGGAAGCACAAACCAAUACCCACCACAAAGCUGCUGAGUGCCCAGCAUGACCCAAGCCGCACCCUCCGAUGAGGAGUCUUGUGCAGGAGUCAGAAGCCACAGGCUUUAAUGAAUCAUCAGCACAGCCUGUUCUUCACUUCCCCUGAUCCAACCUUCCUGGGUCACCAUGACUUACCAGGUCCCACCUUCUGCCUGUCCAUAGUGAGCGCUGCUACCAGAGCUUCUCCAGAGGCCUGGGAAAGCUGCAUUCUACGCCAGCGGACGAGAAAGCUCAAGCAACUCACGUCACAUUUCAGAAUCCACCGUGUGCUCCGCCACUGGUGGCCCAGCCAGGUACUUUGAGGAGGUAGGAGGAAUGAGCAUCAUUCGUCGCUGAUAAGGAAGAUGGCCCCAGCAUGUUCCAGAACCUCCUCCUGACAGAAUGUGCCUGU